rnacentral:rRNA from 1 species
GCAAGUCGAACGGUAACAUUGAAAAGCUGGCUUUUCCGCUGACGAGUGGCGCACGGGUGCGCAACGCGUAGAGAACCUACCCUGUACAGGGGGACAGCACGGAGAAGUCAGGAUUAUUACCCCGUGGUAAAUAGCAUCGGCAUCGGUUUUAAUUUAAAGUUUAUGCGGUACAGGAGGGCUUUGCGUCCGAUUAGUUAGAUGGUGAGGUAACGGCUCACCAUGGCAUCGAUAGGUAGGGGCCCUGAGAGGGGGAUC